AUUGAACGCUGGCGGCAGGCCUAACACAUGCCAGUCGCGCGAGCGGCGGACGGGUGAGUAAUGUCUGGGAAACUGCCUGAUGGAUGGGGAUAACUACUGGAAACGGUAGCUAAUACCGCAUACCCUCAGAUAUGCCCAGAUGGGAUUAGCUAGUAGGUGGGGUAACGGCUCACCUAGGCGACGAUCCCUAGCGGGUCUGAGAGGAUGACCAGCCACACUGGAAUGGACACACGGUCCAGACUCCUACGUGAGGCAGCAGUGGGGAAGAGUGCACAAUGGUCGAAAGCCUGAUGGAGCCAUGCCGCGUGUGUGAAGAAGGCCUUCGGGUUGUAAAGCACUUUCAGCGGGGAGGCGUUACCCGCAGAAGAAGCACCGGCUAACUCCGUGCCAGCAGCCGCGGUAAUUC
rnacentral:rRNA from 1 species